rnacentral:rRNA from 1 species
GACGGAGGAUGCAAGCGUUAUCCGGAAUUAUUGGGCGUAAAGCGUCCGCAGGUGGCUGUUCAAGUCUGCUGUCAAAGCGCAGAGCCUAACUCUGUACAGGCGGUGGAAACUGAAGAGCUAGAGUAUGGUAGGGGUAGAGGGAAUUCCCGGUGUAGCGGUGAAAUGCGCAGAUAUCAGGAGGAACACCGAUAGCGAAGGCAGCUCGCUGGGACGGUACUGACGCUAAGGCGCGAAAGCGUGGGGAGCGAACAGG